UACGUAGGGUGCGAGCGUUGUCCGGAAUUACUGGGCGUAAAGAGCUCGUAGGUGGUUUGUCGCGUUGGUCGUGAAAACCGGGGGCUUAACCCUCGGCGUGCGGGCGAUACGGGCAGACUUGAGUGCUGCAGGGGAGACUGGAAUUCCUGGUGUAGCGGUGGAAUGCGCAGAUAUCAGGAGGAACACCGGUGGCGAAGGCGGGUCUCUGGGCAGUAACUGACGCUGAGGAGCGAAAGCGUGGGGAGCGAACAGG
rnacentral:rRNA from 1 species